GUGGGGAAUAUUGCACAAUGGGCGCAAGCCUGAUGCAGCCAUGCCGCGUGUGUGAAGAAGGCCUUCGGGUUGUAAAGCACUUUCAGCGGGGAGGAAGGCGAUAAGGUUAAUAACCUUGUCGAUUGACGUUACCCGCAGAAGAAGCACCGGCUAACUCCGUGCCAGCAGCCGCGGUAAUACGGAGGGUGCAAGCGUUAAUCGGAAUUACUGGGCGUAAAGCGCACGCAGGCGGUCUGGCAAGUCGGAUGUGAAAUCCCCGGGCUCAACCUGGGAACUGCAUGCGAAACUGGCAGGCUAGAGUCUUGUAGAGGGGGGUAGAAUUCCAGGUGUAGCGGUGAAAUGCGUAGAGAUCUGGAGGAAUACCGGUGGCGAAGGCGGCCCCCUGGACAAAGACUGACGCUCAGGUGCGAAAGCGUGGGGAGCAAACAGGAUUAGAAACCCGUGUAGUCC
rnacentral:rRNA from 1 species